GAUGGUCGGAAAAAGGGCGUACGGUGGAUGCCUUGACACUAAAGAGCGAUGAAGGACGCGGCGUAGCGGCGAUACGCCUCGGGGAGGUGCGUAGCAACCUAUGAUCCGGGGAUUUCCGAAUGAGGAAACUCUAUUACGUAAAACGUAAUAACUCUGGUUUAAUCCGGAGAGCGAACCCGCUGAAGUGAAACAUCUCAGUAAGCGGCGGAAAAUAAAACAACUGUGAUUCCCCAAGUAGCGGCGAGCGAAAAGGGAACUAGCCUAAACCAAUCAGUGCGCAGCACUGGGAAUAUCAAACGCCAAUAAUUCCUGUUAAAUAAAAAUUAAUUUAACAGGACAGAUGAUAUCAAAUAAUUUUUAAUUUAUUUGUAAUUUAUCUCUUGGAAUUUGGUUCUUCCACUGCUGUGCAGUGGCUGGGGUUGCAAGGUAGAUACGUUCUUUAUUUAUCGCAAAUCCUAAAGUCUUGGGAGGUGCGGUAAGUAAAGAGAAAGUUAUAAAUUCGUUUGUUAGCCAAACCGUGCUGGAAAGCCGGGCUAAAGAAGGUGAAAGCCCUGUAGGCGAAAACAAACGAACUUUUAGUAUUUAUUCUUAAGUACUUCGAUAAAAGAAAACGUCGGAGGAAUCUGCGAGAACUGUCUCGUAAGGCUAAAUAUCUUUAGUGAUCUAUAGUGUACUAGUACCGUGAGGGAAAGGUGAAAAGCAGGCCGGAAGGCCGAUGAAAUAGAACCUGAAACCGUAUGCCUACAAGGAACCGGAACGCUACCGCUGUUGCUCAGCGUCCCGCUUCAAUUUUUGAUUUCUAUUUUUUUUGGAAAUUUAAAAUUCGGAGCGCUGAGCAGCAGCGAGGCGCGACGGUGUGCCUAUUGAAGAAUGAGCCAACGAGUUUAUCUGUCUCUUUUGUCUAACCUCUACGGAGGGGAGGCACAGCGAAAGCGAGUGUUAAAAGCGCGUUUAUAAGGGGAUGGAUAAGACCCGAAGCCAGAUGAGCUUGCCCUGGACAGGAUGAACCUCGCCGAAAGGCGAGGGGAGGUCCGAACCGGUUGAUCGUUCAAAAUCUUCGGAUGAUCUGGGGUAAGGAGUGAAAAGCUAAUCGAAUCUGGUAAUAGCUGGUUCUCUCCGAAAUAGCUUUAGGGCUAGCCUCGAGUGUUUCUGAUUGGGGGUAGAGCACUGGAUGGUCUUGAUAGGGUGAAAGCUCGCGAGACCAAUCAAACUCCGAAUACCAGUUAGAUAACUCGGGAGUUAGAACGUGGGGGCUAAGCUCCAUGUUCGAAAGGGGAACAGCCCAGACCGCAGAUUAAGGCCCCUAAAUGUUUGCUAAGUGUGCCAAGGUAGUGUAACGCCAUAGACAGAUAGAAGGUGGGCUCAGAGGUAGCCAUCCUUUAAAGAGUGUGUAACAACUCACUAUUCAAUGGCGGGAUGCGCCGAGAAUGUACGGGGCUAAGCAAGCUGCCGAAAUCGCGGACUCAUGGGUUUUAUUGGGUAAUUUAUAAAGAUGAUUACAAAACUAUUUUAUAAUCAUCUCAUAGCACAUUAUUAAAAAUUAUGGCUGGCGUUUCGAACGCGCGUCGAAAACUCCUAAUAAAAUAGGAGCGGGGAGACAUCCUCCCGCCAGCCGCCAUUUUUAAAUUAAAACUUUUUUUAAAAAGUUAAUUAUCCAAUUAAACCCAUGAGUGGUAGGAGAGCAUUUCAUGCGCGCUGAAGGCGGACCCGCGAGGGCUGCUGGAGUGCAUGGAAGAGAGAAUGUUGGCAUGAGUAACCACAAAGCUGAUGAGAAAUCAGCUCCCUGAAAAUUCAAGGUUUCCGUGGCACUGGCAAUCAACCACGGGUUAGGCGGGCCUAAGGCGAUGGCGAAAGCCGCAGCUGAUGGACAGCCGGUUAAUAUUCCGGCCCUCCCGCUUUUUUCUAAAGGAGUGACGAAAAGGAGUAGGUCAAGCAUCUUAAUGGUUUGGUGUUUUUUACCGAGGGUGGUGGAAGAUAAAUCUUUUCACCUGCUUUUAAUGGCGAACUUUAGGGAAAAGACGAGUCUUGGCUUUGGCCUGGAUUAGUUGACUAAUUACUUUUCCGAGAAAAACUUCUAGGGUUAAGGAAGCGGGAUCCGUACCGGAAACCGACACAGGUGGAUAGGGCGAGAAGCCCAAAGGGAACGAGUGAAUUCUCGUUAAGGAACUCGGCAAAAAAGCGGCCGUAAGUUAGCAAUAAGGCCUCCCUGAUGAUGGCGCCGCAAGGCGUUAUCAAAAGGGCGCAGCGAAAGUAUCUCUAGCGACUGUUUACCAAAGACACAGCUCCCUGCGAACUCGUAAGAGGAUGUAUAGGGGGUGACGCCUGACCGAUGCGAGAAGGUUAACGGUGGCGGUGUCCAGCACUAAAUUUUUAAAAUUUUUGAAAAUUUAGUGCUGGAUGCUAACUGCCCGAAGCCCUCGUCAAUGUCAGCGAUAACUAUAAUCGUUCUAAGGUAGCGCAAUUCCUUUCCGGGUAAGUUCCGGAGCGCAUGAAAGGCGUAACGACUGGAGAACUGUCUCAACGAGAAGCUCGGUGAAAAUGCGAUUCCCGUGAAGACGCGGGAUACCUGCAGCGGGACGAAAAGACCCCGGGAGCUUUACUGUAGCUUGAUAUUGGGCUUAAAUUGUUGUUGCGUAGAAUAGGCGGGAGGCUUUGAAGUUUCAACUCCGGUUGAGAUGGAGCCGCCAGUGCAAUACCGCCCUUUAAUGGUUUAAGUUCUAACUCAUUAGAAAUCCUUUUAGGUAAGUCUAAUGAAGACAGUGUCUGGUGGGCAGUUUUUCUGGGGCGGAAUCCUCCUAAAGAGUAACGGAGGAGUUUAUUAAGGUCGGCUAGAGUCGGAUGGAAAUCGACUCGAUUGUGUAAAGGCAGAAGCCGGCUUAACUGCAAGACCUACAAGUCAAGCAGAUGCGAAAGCAGAACUUAGUGACCCGACGAACCUUUACAGGAAGGUCGGAGACAACGGAUAAAAGCUACCCCGGGGAUAACAGGCUGGUGUUGCCCGAGAGUCCAUAUCGACGGCAACGCUCGGCACCUCGAUGUCGGCUCAUCACAGCGCGGGGCUGGAGAAGGUCCCAAGCGUUUGGCUGUUCGCCAAUUAAAGUGGUACGCGAGCUGGGUUCAGACCGUCAAAAAAAAGAACCCUUAACGAUAAUCGAACACGGCGGCCUUAUGCCGUAAGGCAUAUUGCAAAACUGACUCAUAUCGGUGAAACCCUAAUAAUAUAAAUUAGAAUUUAACCUGUCAUAUGUUAGGAUAAUACCGAGGGAAGUUUUGUAUGAAAAAUAAAAUUCAAAAAGCAUAUAUUGCAGGAUUUCUUGACGGCGAUGGGAGUAUUUACGUUAGGUUGAAACCUAAUUCUACUUAUAAGUAUGGAUUUCAAGUUGCGCCCUAUGUUGUAUUAUUUCAAUCGCAAAAAAGUCAAAAAGAUUUUGAGAAAAUUUGCUCACUUAUCGGCUUAGGAUAUUUAAGAAUUCGUAAAGAUGGAAUCCUUGAAUAUAUUAUUAGUCGAAAAAAAGCAAUUUAUAGUUUUCUUAAAAUAGUUAAACCAUUUGUGAUUUUAAAAAAAGAACAAAUUAAUUUAACAUUAAAAAUCCUGAAUAAAAAAGAAAGCGUUAAAAAUAAAAACGACUUUCAAAAAAUUAUGAAUCUAAUUGAUCGUUUUAGAAAAUUAAAUUAUUCAAAAAAACGAAAAAAACAUACAAUAACCCCGUAGAGACUUGAUUAUUUUACUAAUCAGAGUCCGCGAUUUUUCGCGGGCUAACACGUCAGUCAUCCUAAAUUUAGGAUGAUGGUAUAGUCCACACUGUUAGUAAUAGCAGAUAAUGCAAUUCUAGUUACUUUUUUGUUACUAGUUUUUUAAUUUGCGUGAGACAGGUUGGUCUCUAUCUGCUGCAGGCGAUAAGCACUUGAAGGAAGUUGACCCUAGUACGAGAGGACCGGGUUGAACGAACCUCUGGUCUACCGGCUUUGCCACCAGGUGAAUUGCCGGGUAGCUAUGUUCGGAAAGGAUAAGCGCUGAAAGCAUCUAAGCGCGAAGCCUCUCCUAAGAUUAAGUGCAUGACCUCGUAGAAGACUACUACGUUAAUAGGCUCUAGGUGUAAGGCUCGUAAGAGUUUUAGCCAAGGAGUACUAAUGGUCUAUUCCGGCCAUCUC
rfam:Candidatus Liptonbacteria bacterium RIFOXYD1_FTLL_36_11 rifoxyd1_full_scaffold_1837, whole genome shotgun sequence.